CCCCAGUACAAAUCACCCAUCUUCAGCACAGAAAUCUUGGGUUUAUUAUUCUGCAGCUGUGUCUAGCAAGACCUCAGUUUCCUGUUGCCUGCUGAUCAGACACCAAGUUAUAGAAGAAUCUCUGGCAUGAUGCUAUGUAGUCUAUGAUUUUCAGAGCAAGGAUCCAGGCUGAAAACUUUCUGGUGACAUUCCAAGUAAGCUGUCAUGAGAAGGGAAUCCAACACGCAAGGCCUCAGUGCUUAGGGAAAAUCAGAGGGUUUCAUCUACUCCGAAGAAAAGAUAAGAACUAUAAAUGCUAACUCAGUAACUCCCCAGGAAUGGCCAUGUGCCAUGCUGAGACUGAAUGCAUCAUUAGCAAUUCCCUGGGGCUGGAUGUCUAUUUCAGACUGCACAGUAUAACAGCUCCAGGGAACGUACAACCAGAGGAUGCUGAUAAUUUCACAGUUUCUGCUUCCCUGUGAGGCAGAAAAUAGAAGUGCUCUGAAGCUCUUUCCCAGGAACACAGAAGUAACGUUUUCCAAAGCUAUCAAAAGCAGAGGAAGAUAGGUGUGUUCUCUGCAAUGUGGGAGAAAAGGAAACAGAAUAAUCUGCUGCUGUGGCUGCUAAAGGAGGCUCUUGGCUGAUUAGCAAGCUAUGUGGACUGAAGCUAUGGAACCUGUCCCUUGCAGCAAAUAUUUUGGGGAGGCACGUAAUGUUGGCUCAGAGGUUAUGCUAAUCCAAACCCAGCACAGCAAUCAUCAGAGGAAUCUACGCUGGGACAAGGCUGCUCUCCAAGGCACUGGUGGAGGAACUGCAGUACAGCAUUGUGUUCUGAAGCAUUUGCUAUCACUUAACUAAAUGUCAGCUCUCUGGAUACAAACCUCUCAGCAGAAGAAACAGAAAACACAGGAAGAAAAGCUUCCAUCUGCAAAUCGAGAGAACCCCCUCAUUGUUCAAUGAGCGACUAAGAUUUUAAAUUAGGAAUCAUAAAAAUUAGGCUCCUAAACAUAAAUUAAGGCAACACUAGAACUCUGGUGGCAAAACAUUCCUAUUGACCCACCUGCAGCUGAAUCACCUAAAAGCCUGAAUCAUCACCAGCACAGUUGAGGGACCUCAUAUUACCUCAGCAAAUGUACUUUAUCAGUGAUCAUUGUGCAAGCUUAGUAUUAAUUUGCAAUUCUCAGCA